rnacentral:rRNA from 1 species
AUACGUAGGGUGCAAGCGUUAAUCGGAAUUACUGGGCGUAAAGCGUGCGCAGGCGGGUUUGUAAGACAGAGGUGAACUCCCCGGGCUCAACCUGGGAACUGCCUUUGUGACUUCCAUGCUAGAGUAAGGCAGAGGGGGAUGGAAAUCCGCGUGUAGCAGUGAAAUGCGUAGAUAUGCGGAGGAACACACCAGGCGAAGGCAAUCCCCUGGGCCUGUACUGACGCUCAUGCACGAAAGCGUGGGGAGCAAACAGGAUUAGAUACCCUGAUAGUCCACGCCCUAAACGAUGUCAACUGGUUGUUGGGUCUUCAUUGACUCAGUAACGAAGCUAACGCGUGAAGUUGACCGCCUGGGGGGUACGGCCGCAAGGUUGAAACUCAAAGGAAUUGACGGGG